UGGGGAAUUUUGCACAAUGGGGGAAACCCUGAUGCAGCGACGCCGCGUGAUUUAGAAGGCCUUCGGGUUGUAAAAAUCUUUUCUAUGGGAAGAAAAUGACAGUACCAUAGGAAUAAGGACCGGCUAAUUACGUGCCAGCAGCCGCGGUAAUACGUAAGGUCCGAGCGUUGUCCGGAAUCAUUGGGCGUAAAGGGUACGCAGGCGGGUAAGCAAGUUAGAAGUGAAAUCCUAUAGCUCAACUAUAGUAAGCUUUUAAAAUUGCUCAUCUUGAGGUAUGGAAGGGAAAGUGGAAUUCCUAGUGUAGCGGUGAAAUGCGCAGAUAUUAGGAGGAAUACCGGUGGCGAAGGCGACUUUCUGGCCAUAACCUGACGCUGAGGUACGAAAGCGUGGGUAGCAAACAGG
rnacentral:rRNA from 1 species